rnacentral:rRNA from 1 species
UUGACGGGACCCGCACAAGCGGUGGAUGAUGUGGUUUAAUUCGAUGCAACGCGAAAACCUUACCUACCCUUGACAUGUCCGGAAUCCCGAAGAGAUUUGGGAGUGCUCGCAAGAGAACCGGAACACAGGUGCUGCAUGGCUGUCGUCAGCUCGUGUCGUAAGAUGUUGGGUUAAGUCCCGCAACGAGCGCAACCCUUGUCAUUAGUUGCCAUCAUUUGGUUGGGCACUCUAAUGAGACUGCCGGUGACAAACCGGAGGAAGGUGGGGAUGACGUCAAGUCCUCAUGGCCCUUAUGGGUAGGGCUUCACACGUCAUACAAUGGUCGGUACAGAGGGUUGCCAACCCGCGAGGGGGAGCUAAUCCCACAAAGCCGAUCGUAGUCCGGAUCGCAGUCUGCAACUCGACUGCGUGAAGUCGGAAUCGCUAGUAAUCGUGGAUCAGAAUGUCACGGUGAAUACGUUCCCGGGUCUU